CAAAGGAUAGUUUAAGAAGAAUUUUAAUUUUGGAGAUUAAAGAUAAGAUAAAAUCUUUCCUUUGA
rnacentral:tRNA from 1 species